GGAAUAUUGCACAAUGGGGGAAACCCUGAUGCAGCGACGCCGCGUGAGUGAAGAAGUAUUUCGGUAUGUAAAGCUCUAUCAGCAGGGAAGAAAACAAUGACAGUACCUGACUAAGAAGCCCCGGCUAACUACGUGCCAGCAGCCGCGGUAAUACGUAGGGGGCAAGCGUUAUCCGGAUUUACUGGGUGUAAAGGGAGCGUAGGCGGUGCGGCAAGUCAGAAGUGAAAGCCCGGGGCUCAACUCCGGGACUGCUUUUGAAACUGUCGGACUGGAGUGUCGGAGAGGUAAGUGGAAUUCCUAGUGUAGCGGUGAAAUGCGUAGAUAUUAGGAGGAACACCAGUGGCGAAGGCGGCUUACUGGACGAUCACUGACGCUGAGGCUCGAAAGCGUGGGGAGCAAACA
rnacentral:rRNA from 1 species